UAGUCUGAAGGAGUCGAGUGGUGGCGCUCGGUCCACCCAGGCAUUUUGCACAGCUGAAUGGUUGCCAUGGAGAUUCAAGGAUUUCUCAAACAUGCCUGAAAGAAUGAAGGCAACACUGCCGGUAUGUUGGUGAUGAGAGAAUAAUUAUAACAUGAUGUAGAGUCAAUUUUAUAACAUACACAGGACUUAGUUUAAUUGAUUGCUAUAGAAAAACCUUGAUUAAAGUUAAUAUAACUUAACUCAUCUUUUUCCAUUAAACACAACAUUACAGUUUACAGUGUGUAUGACCUGAUCAGAGGUGUGUGUGACCUCAGCAGCCUCCUGGUCCAGAGAGCCGCUGAGGUCACAUCUUUCUGUCUGAUCUCAUCAGUCCAUCCUGAACGAUGCGUUCAAGUGCCUCUCCUCCUGCGCCUGCCGUUACAGCGUCAGCUCGCUCUGCUCCUCUCUGUCUUUAUUCCUUAUCUUCCUCCUCAAACCCGGCUUUAUUCUCCUAAAUCCCUCCUUUGGGGUUAAUUAUCCUCCUGAGUCCUUCAGAGGACACUCUGUGUGAUGUUUCUGGGUUCACUGAUAAGCUCCACUAAUAUUAAAUAUCCUCUACAGCCACUCACGCUCUGACAUGCUUUCUCCUUGCGCUAAGCACUUUCUAUCGUUGCAGCUAAUCUGAUUAGCUUCAGUCUUGCAGAAUUAUUACACUGUUGUUCCAAAAGCAUCAAGGAGGGUCAGGAAAUGGUUCUCUGAUUCAUUUCUUUGUCCGGUUUUCAAAGAAAAAGGUUAGGAUGAAAAAAUCCUGAUUCCCUUAAAAAGAUUCAUAAUUUAGCAUUGAUUUUAUUGGGAUGUCAUGUGAUGCUGGGACAAAGAAAGGUAGACUUUCAAAGUUUCUUUUGCAUAUCAGCUUCGGCUUCCUUUACUCUGAUGCACCUAAAUAAAACCAUUCACCUUCAGACAUUAUCCAAUAAUUUAGUAGAGGCCAGAAAUCUCCAGAAAUCCAAAUGUUCUGCUAUUUUUUUUAGCAGGAACAGAAAAAGAUGGACAAUCCUGGAGGAGAGUUUCACCUUCCAACAGGACAAUAAACCUAAACAUAAAACUGGAUCUAGAUCAAAACAUAAUCUCCUUUAAGAAUGGCCUAGUCAAAGUCCAAAUGAGAAUCCAUGAAUUAAAAACUGAUCUCACUGUCUAUCUGAUCAGUUUGAGUUUUGUUCCAAAGCAAAAAGAGCAACAAAAUCAUAGUUUAAGAUAAUAAUAAAAACAUAUGAAAGGCAGUUAAAUAGAUUGGGGUGGAGCUAAAAUUUAAACGCACUCUGCAAAAAUAAAAAAUAAAAGCAAAAAUAGAAGCAAACAUCAUAUUCCUUGAACUUCACAAUUAUGACCUACUUUCCAUUUUUCUCUCUUAGUAAAUAUUAAACACAAUUUCAUGAAAUUACAAAACAAAACGUGGAGAAGUUCCAGGGAUUUUAAUACUUUUCAGCCAAUUGUUCCUUUUUUCAUGUUUUUCCUCCAUGUUCAUGUUCUCUUUAUAAAGCCCAGACCAGCAGCAGCAGCAGCAGCGGCGGCUGCAGCUCAGGGUGUGUCGUGACCAGCAUCUGGACUGGAGAUGGAAGAUGGAGGAAACGGGAGCGGAAGAGAGGAGGGCAUGAAUGAAGAAUGCAAGAUUGCAUCUUUUAAUGUUCAGGGUGAAGCAUGCUCUCUCUCCUCCACCUCCGCCUCCUACUCGGAUGUUCAGUUUCUAAGAGACACAUGCUGGCUGAAGGUUUGCACAUCCAGCUUCAUGGAUCAGCCAAAACAGGAGCUUUCACAACAGAUUAGACACAAUAGAAUCAAUAAGGUUUGUAAUUUCUACCUAAUUUGCGAACAUAAACAGUAAUUUAGUUCAUUAUUUCUCUCGGAGGUGUAAAACUCAUCCAUCUUCGCUCACAUUCUGCUCUAAAUGACGGUUCGAUGUGACAAAUAAGCAUCUUAGUCAGCAAAUUGAAUGAGUGCCGUAGUGCAUUGCGUAACCGCUUCCAGCAGGGUGGACCAGAAAACCCCCGUGGAGGGUGCGUGGGUAAACCCCGAACAUACAUGAUAACCCACCGCCGCGUGAAAAAUCCAAACGUGGAGAAAAAACACGGAUUUAUAUCACUUUAAAACCAAAUGGAAGAUUUAAAGUUAGUUUAAUUGAAAAAAAAGUGACUAAUUAAAUGAAAUUGACGAGGUUUUGUGUGAGCGUUGCGUGGGUUUCUGUAUCAAUUUUAUUUCUUUUUAUGUCUAUUUCUAUAGAAAUGUAAAGUUCCGCAUGAAUGUUUGUCUGAAGUGAUUUUUUCUUGAGGGAAGAUUCCCAGAAAUGUUGCUGCUGCUGGUUUACACGCCCUGAACCGCUCAACACAAGCAAAUAGUCCAAAAGCAGCCAAGAAAAGCUGCAGGAUUUAACCCACCGCCUCCCUGUUGGAGACCAAAUCUACUGCUGGAAUAUGAAUUCAUAAGCAGAUGAUGUCCUCCCCACCUCCCCCAACCCGAACACGGCACACUCGAACCGAGCGGAAGAUCCGGAUGAAGACGAAGAUUUCGGUAGAUGUCGGGCGUGUGGAGGCUUCGAGCUCGGGCGCGGUCGGGGAAGUUCGGAGAGAAUCGUCGGAGCUAGAAGAAGAAGCAGCAGCUCUGCGGUUCAGCAGACUGACGUUCCGGGUUCCGACCCAGGAGAGGGAAGGAAACCUCCUCUGACGUCACAGCUGGUUCAGUGCCCUUUGACCCUCUUAUUUAGAACUAUUUGGAUGAACGUUCACCACCACGCAGGAUAAAGUUGCUGAUCUUCCAUGUUUUUUUCUAAUCUCUCAUUAGUCUCCAUCUUUGCCAGAGCAGUAAAUCUUCCUGUUUACUCAGCAGGAUGUGGAUAAAUGAUGUGGAUAAAAGCUUCUUGUUUGACAGCAAAAUACAUUGAAUUACAGAAACUAAAUGGAGAAAACAUUUUUCCCCUCCAAAUAAUUCCCAUAAAAUUAACAUGACUCAAGGAUUUUGUUCUAGAUUUUCCAUCUGAAGCCGAUCAGUCAGAACUGACCAGGCCUCUAAAUCAAUGUCCAUUUUUCACCCUGGGAAUAAUUUUAUACGCAGUUCAAAAAUGACACAAAUGUGGUUCUCCAGUUUUUACUUUUGUCAUUUUUUAGCAUGAGAAUUUUUAUUCUUUUAUAAUCAUAUUGUCUUUAUUAUUUUAAUUUCAUAGAAAGUAUGGCUAUAAACAUCCAUUUACUUUUUAAGAGCACAUUAAUUCUACUAAACUUGGUUAACAGUUUAUUUUAAAGAAAUGUCUCAGUUUUGUUUAACAGAUUAGAGCAGAACAAUUUCAAAUAAAGUGAAAAAUUGCCCUGGAA